rnacentral:rRNA from 1 species
CCUACGGGAGGCAGCAGUGGGGAAUAUUGCACAAUGGGCGAAAGCCUGAUGCAGCGACGCCGCGUGAGGGAUGACGGCCUUCGGGUUGUAAACCUCUUUCAGUAGGGAAGAAGCGAAAGUGACGGUACCUGCAGAAGAAGCGCCGGCUAACUACGUGCCAGCAGCCGCGGUAAUACGUAGGGCGCAAGCGUUAUCCGGAAUUAUUGGGCGUAAAGAGCUCGUAGGCGGUUUGUCGCGUCUGCCGUGAAAGUCCGGGGCUCAACUCCGGAUCUGCGGUGGGUACGGGCAGACUAGAGUGAUGUAGGGGAGACUGGAAUUCCUGGUGUAGCGGUGAAAUGCGCAGAUAUCAGGAGGAACACCGAUGGCGAAGGCAGGUCUCUGGGCAUUAACUGACGCUGAGGAGCGAAAGCAUGGGGAGCGAACAGGAUUAGAUACCCUGGUAGUCCAUGCCGUAAACGUUGGGCACUAGGUGUGGGGGACAUUCCACGUUUUCCGCGCCGUAGCUAACGCAUUAAGUGCCCCGCCUGGGGAGUACGGCCGCAAGGCUAAAACUCAAAAUGAAAUUGACGG